AGUACAUGGUGUAGAAAGAUGGGGGACACUAACAUCAAAGGUUCCGACACGAGUGGACCUUCUGUUAAGAUAUCUAU